AAUGAAAUUGGGAAUUACAGUAUAGUGUACAUUUCAUGGUUUGCUUCACUGGAAACUAUAAUUGCAUUUCUAUUUUUUUUUAAUAAAUACAGAGUGAAUUACUUCAAAAUGAUAUAUUAUUACUUCCUUACCACACACCGGGUCAUUGGGUUCUUGCGGUAAGAUGUUUUGUAUUGUACUUCUGGAUUAUGGGCAAUAAAUGUGGUAUUAAAUAAGCGAUUUGUAACACAACUAUAGUAGCAGUGAUAUAAUUUCCCGUGUUGCGGGUUUUCAAUGAGUUCAGUGCAUGCAAAGGAAAGUGGAAUGUGAAUGUUAAAAAUAAAAUGCUACUGUCAAGUUACGUUGUUAAUGUAACUUGGAAGAAUACACUCUGUAAUGAAUUGAUCAAUGAUUUCACAAUAUGCUUUUCUCUUGUGUAUUACUGAGACAUUACAAACGAGAAUAUGUUAAUUGCAUAAUGAUUUUUGAUAAAUCAGUAUAAAAUUUUUGAAAUAAUCACAUUACCAAUAUAAUUUGUGAAUAUAUUUACACUUACAGAUAGCCUUGAUGAAAAAAAGGAAUUGUUAAUAAUUGACCCCUUGUGUGAUGAGAUGAGAUGAGAUAUGAAAGAACAUGUCUGAGGAAUUGGAGAAACUUCAUCAAACGAUUAACUAGCAAAUCCUCAUCUGAUUGGAAGAGUAAAAUUGUUCAGCACCCAGACAAAGUGAUGGUCACAACUGCGGACCACUCAUCUUAAAGUUUGCAGAAACAUAUUUGCAGCACAAAGACAUCAGUAUGGUAGAAACAACACAAGAGGUUAAUACUGCAUUUAGAAGACAUAUAGCAAUUCUUCUAAUGAAGGAGGCAGGUAAUUACUUUCUACCAGGUACUG